AAUUGAACUUCGAUUAGUCGCCUUCAUGGCGUGCGUGCCCGUAAGGGAUAGAAGUUCAAUCUCAA
rnacentral:ncRNA from 1 species